ensembl:lncRNA
GUUUUCUGUAGUUUUGUUCCUGGAGGAGGAUGACUGUGUGGCAGCAGUUCCACGCCAGAUCAUUUGGAGAAGAUCAAGUGGCUGACUGAAGAGAAGGUUGAGCUGAGGGCUCUACAAUCAGUUCCAUCUAUGUCCACCUUCAGCGACACAGCAACACCUGCCCAUCAUGAAGAUGACACAUCACCCCCUACCUCAAGCAGUAGUACCACCAACACUACAAAAGGUUUGGAAGACCCUACACAACGGCCAACUGUCCUAGUCCAUACUGAACAGGGCACAAUAUUAACAAGAGGGCCUACAGGUCAAAGAUAUUGAUUUGCCCCAGAAGUCUGAGAAAAAUUCAUGUAGAUUCAGAAAUGAAAACUAAAAUGGUGAUCAAUGCUGCUUGGAAGGGCAAUAUGGGCUCCUUCUAUCCAGCCUCCUCCUAAGAGAAACACAUUCCCCUUGUUCUGUUUUACAUCUAUUUUACUAAAGUUGUUGUUAUUGUUCAGUUAUCUUGUUUACAUAAAGUAU